AUUGAACGCUGGCGGCAGGCCUAACACAUGCAAGUCGAGCGGAUGAAGGGAGCUUGCUCCUGGAUUCAGCGGCGGACGGGUGAGUAAUGCCUAGGAAUCUGCCUGGUAGUGGGGGAUAACGUCCGGAAACGGGCGCUAAUACCGCAUACGUCCUGAGGGAGAAAGUGGGGGAUCUUCGGACCUCACGCUAUCAGAUGAGCCUAGGUCGGAUUAGCUAGUUGGUGGGGUAAAGGCCUACCAAGGCGACGAUCCGUAACUGGUCUGAGAGGAUGAUCAGUCACACUGGAACUGAGACACGGUCCAGACUCCUACGGGAGGCAGCAGUGGGGAAUAUUGGACAAUGGGCGAAAGCCUGAUCCAGCCAUGCCGCGGGUGUGAAGAAGGUCUUCGGAUUGUAAAGCACUUUAAGUUGGGAGGAAGGGCAGUAAGUUAAUACCUUGCUGUUUUGACGUUACCAACAGAAUAAGCACCGGCGAACUUCGU
rnacentral:rRNA from 1 species